GAGGCAAUUGCUGGAUUGUAUGGUAAGACUAUAUUUAGCUUUCUGAGAAACUGCCAAACUGACUUCUAAAGUGGUUGUGCCAUUUUGCAUUGGCACUAGCAGU
rnacentral:pre_miRNA from 1 species